AAGUCGUAACAAGGUUUCCGUAGGUGAACCUGCGGAAGGAUCAUUAAAGAGUUAGGGUCCUAGUGGCCCAACCUCCAACCCUCCGUUUGGUUAAAAAAACCCUUGUCUUUUUGGGCCGGGGGAACCGUUCGGUCUCCGAGCGCGUUAACCCCUCGGGUUGGCGAGCGCCCGCCAGAGUCCAACCAAACUCUUGUAUUAAACCAGUCGUCUGAGUAUAAAAUUUUGGUUAAAUUAAAAAC
rnacentral:misc_RNA from 1 species